rnacentral:rRNA from 1 species
GACAGAGGGGGCAAGCGUUGCUCGGAAUCACUGGGCGUAAAGCGCACGUAGGCGGCUUUCUAAGUCGGGGGUGAAAUCCUGGAGCUCAACUCCAGAACUGCCUUCGAUACUGGAGAGCUCGAGUCCGGGAGAGGUGAGUGGAACUGCGAGUGUAGAGGUGAAAUUCGUAGAUAUUCGGAAGAACACCAGUGGCGAAGGCGGCUCACUGGUCCGGUACUGACGCUGAUGAUGCGGAAAGCGUGGGGAGCAAACAG